AUUGAACGCUGGCGGCAGGCCUAACACAUGCAAGUCGAGCGGAGCGGCUGACGGGUGAGUAAUGCCUAGGAAUCUGCCUGGUAGUGGGGGAUAACGUCCGGAAACGGGCGCUAAUCCCGCAUACUAUCAGAUGAGCCUAGGUCGGAUUCGCUGGUUGGUGGGGAAACGGACUACCAAGACGACGAUCCGUACCUGGUCUGAGAGGAUGAUCAGGCAACAUGGAACGGUGACACGGUCCAGACUCCUACGGUGGGCAGAAGUGGGGAAUAUUGGACAAUGGGCGAAAGCCUGAUGCAGCCAUGCCGCGUAUAUGAAGAGGGCCUUCGGGUUGUAAAGUACUUUCAGCGGGGAGGCGUUACCCGAAGAAGAAGCACCGGCUAACUCCGUGCCAGCAGCCGCGGUAAUAC
rnacentral:rRNA from 1 species